GGUCUUUAAUCAUGAUCAAUCCAUCAUCUACGUUGAUGAAUACUUUAGUCGUCUUCAUGAGCGGUCUUCCAAGAAUGAUUGGAUACUUUUCAUCCUCCUUCAUCUCCAUGACCAUAAAGUCAACCAGGAAUUUAAGUCUUUUUAUGCGAAUCACAACAUCCUCCACCACACCGUAGGGUUUCUUUGGUGAUCCAUCUGCCAUUAUCAAGGAAAUCUUUGGUGGCUUCAAUCUAAGACCACCAAUCUUUUUCAGCAUAGAUAGGAGCAUCAUAUUAAUGCUUGACCCUAAAUCAAGUACGGCUCUCCCUAUCUUCACACUCCCAAUGGUGCAAGGAACUGUAAAACCUCUUGGGUCUUUAACUUUAAGAGGGCAUGAUUUCUUCAACAAGUCACUACAACCUCCCUGUUCAUCAAUAACUUCCUCAUAUUGAACUAUGUUUUCAUCGAGGUACUGCUUUAUACGCCUAGCAUAAAUAGGAAUUUGUUGAAGUGCUUCAAUCAACAGUAUAGUAAUCUCUAAUUGAUUGAAGAUUUCUCUAAAAUGCUCACAUUUUCUUUCUACUAUCUCACGCCCCUUUGGAUAAGGAAGAAUACUCUCUUCUUUUUCACUUCUUUUUUUCUUUCUCACUUUUUUUCUCUCCCCUCUUCUCUUCCUCUUCUUUCAACUCAACCUCACACAUUUUCUCUUCUUUUUCUUCUUCCCUCACUAACUCAACACUCUCCUUUUUCUCAUCCACUCUCUCCUCAACUACACUCACUAUGGCCUUACAAUCUUCCUUAGGGUUAACCUCAGUAUUAGCCCCAAAUUGCUUCUCUGCCUUGUCCUUCAGCCUUUUAGCUAACUGACUGAUCUACAUCUCCA
rnacentral:lncRNA from 1 species